rnacentral:misc_RNA from 1 species
CGACAAUCAGGAGAAUGGCAUUGAUAAUACGCCAAAAGUGCCCAGCUAUAUGGCACCAACUGAAUCUGCAAGAGCAAAGCUGAGAGGACAAGGAUCACCUAGAUUUUCUCAAGAUGCAAUUGAGAAUAUUGGUACAACCAGAAGGCAUUCUCUGCCAUCUUCCGCUAAUGGCAAGUUUCCUUCAAUGUCACCACGAGCACAGAAACUGGUCCAUGCAGCUGGCAAAGGAGUGACCGGAAGUGAUGUAUCGCUAUCUUCUUCCAGAGAUGACACUGUUUCAGAUAAGGUGAUUAAAGCUGAGUGGAGGAGGUGAUUUUGCAGGAGGAAUGCUUCGUAGGUAUAUUAUACUGAGCAAGGAAAUGAA